GACGUCACGGUUGGCGGGCUUGUCUCUCGGUCUCCCAGACUGAAGUUUUCACCUUCAUUUCGUCGCCUCCAGUUCUUGGACACCGCGCCUUCAGCGAAUUUAGGAUUAGAGGUCAAAGAUGGUAACAGCGUUUCAUAACUCUAACUAGAUACGUACUGUUUACUGGAUUCUGGGGAUUGAAUCCAGGGCCUUGCACAUGCCAGCAUAUCAACUGAAGCUUAACUGAGCUUAACAGAGGUGCCUCGGAUCUGGUGAGGAUGAAGCAGUGUGCAACAUGGACUCAGGCUCAGGCGGUCGGGCUUGGCAACAUGGACCUUUACUGGCUGAGCCGUUUGGACAGCCAGGGACGUAGUGGUUUGUCCUGCAUCAGUGAGGUUAAUAAGGUCAACUGUGGAAUUUCUUGAUUUGUUGGAAUAUGAAGAGUUAAACUUUUGGCCCAGGAAGCUGCAAGUGAGAAAGAAAGAGACUGGACCACUGAGUGAUGAGACCACAAGACUCAGGCCUACCUUGAAGCUAUGGAGACACCACUGUGCCACACUUCCAGAUAAGCCACAGGGAACCUGCAAUGGCUUCUGAAACUAAGCAUGGAGGCGCAAGAACCCUUACCUGGUGCAACCAUAAUUUCAUUUUUCUUGGAGCGAAUUCGAAGAAAGGUUAGGUCAUUCUGGGGGUCAAUUUCACGCACA